CGUAGGGGCGAGCGUUGUCCGGAAUUAUUGGGGCGUAAAGCGCGCGCAGGCGGUCCUUUAAGUCUGAUGUGAAAGCCCACGGCUCAACCGUGGAGGGUCAUUGGAAACUGGGGGACUUGAGUGCAGGAGAGGAGAGCGGAAUUCCACGUGUAGCGGUGAAAUGCGUAGAGAUGUGGAGGAACACCAGUGGCGAAGGCGGCUCUCUGGCCUGUAACUGACGCUGAGGCGCGAAAGCGUGGGGGAGCAAACAGGAUU
rnacentral:rRNA from 1 species